rnacentral:rRNA from 1 species
CCUACGGGUGACUGCAGUGGGGAAUAUUGGGCAAUGGGCGCAAGCCUGACCCAGCAACGCCGCGUGAAGGAAGAAGGCUUUCGGGUUGUAAACUUCUUUUCUCAGGGACGAAGCAAGUGACGGUACCGGAGGAAUAAGCCACGGCUAACUACGGGCCAGCAGCCGCGGGAAUACGUAGGUGGCAAGCGUUAUCCGGAUUUACUGGGUGUAAAGGGCGUGUAGGCGGGGACGCAAGUCAGAUGUGAAAACCACGGGCUCAACCUGUGGCCUGCAUUUGAAACUGUGUUUCUUGAGUACUGGGGAGGCAGUCGGAAUUCCUAGUGUAGCGGUGAAAUGCGUAGAUAUUAGGAGGAACCCCAGUGGCGAAGGCGGUCUGCUGGACAGCAACUGACGCUGAGGCGCGAAAGCGUGGGGAGCAAACAGGAUUAGAUACCCGGGUAGUC